rnacentral:rRNA from 1 species
GAUGAACGCUGGCGGCGUGCCUAAUACAUGCAAGUCGAGCGAACAGACGAGGAGCUUGCUGCUCUGACGUUAGCGGAGGACGGGAGAGACACACGUGGAUAACCUACCUAUAAGACUGGGAUAACUUCGGGAAACCGGAGCUAAUCCCGGAUAAUAUAUUGAACCGCAUGGUUCAAUAGUAAAAGACGGUGUUGCUGUAACUAAUAGAGGGAUACGCGCCGUAUGAGCUAGUUGGGAAGGUAACGGCUUACCAAGGGAACGAUGCGUAGCCGACGUGAUGGGGGGAUCGGCCACCUGGGAACUGGGACACGGUCCAGGCGCCUACGGGAGGGACCAGUAGGGAACCGUCCGCAAUGGUCGGAAGCCUGGCGGAGCAAGGGCGCGUGAGUUGUGAAGGUGCUCGGAGCGGAAAGCCGGGUUAUGGGGGAAGAACAAAUUUGUAAGUAAAUAAGCACGUCUUGACGGUACUGAAUCAGAAAGCCACGGCUAACUACGUG